rnacentral:sRNA from 1 species
UCAUGGUUGUAUUUCUUACAGAAAGUGC